AUGUUUUCCUCCCUACAUCGUCAAAGACGACUCCUCCACCGCUCGCGGCCUCGCCGGCCUCGGGCUGGGGCGACCUUUGCCGUUUGCAUGUCCCGCCCGGUCCCAGCCGAGCAGGCGUGGCCAAGGCGGGCUCGCCGGGCCCUGGGGACCGCCUCCCGGCGCCCGGCGCGCAGGCCGGGCCGCAGAGGAUGCCCUUCGUCUUUGGCACCCCAAGCCGACAGGAGAGACGCGGUGGGCGGCCGGAGGGGCCGGGGGAAGGAGCUGCUGGCGGAGAUUUUCCUGAAGCCAAAGUGUGCCAAUGGCCUCCGACUGCGGAGGGACGAGCUUCGUGCCGUCGUCGCAGGAGGGCCUGGUUCUGAGUCCCGGCCUUGGCAGGUCUGGAGCGGGGCUUCCCGCGGCGCCGGCGCCGGCGCCGGCGCCGUCAGCCCCCAGCCAGGCGGCGGGCGUGCGGGUGGGGAGGGCCCGGCUGGGCCGACGCAAGGAGCCUCCCCAGCUCCAGCGCCUGCGUCUGCCGGCCGCCUCCACGGACCGGGCCGUCGGAGAGCGCCCUCUGCCCGAGACGUCGAUCCCUACACCCCCUCCGCCCCCGGCCGCUUGUGGCCACAGCUCCUCGCCGCAGGCCUCCCGCUGGGCUCUUGCGCACCCCGCCCCGCGUCUGCCUGCCGCCCUCCUCCUUCGUGUUCCCUCCCAGCCGGUGCUUCUUUUCCAGUCCACCCUUCCCCACCCGCCGCCGAGACCGGAGGGGACCCUCCUCAGCCCUUGUCGCCCCGUCAUCCCAGCGCUAGCCCGGGGCCGGCCUGGAAGGAGGUGCACGGUAGACGCUCGUUGAGCGAGUGAAAGAGGCGCAGAACAGACGGAAUCGGACGAGGAGGGUACGGGCCGGUCCAGGGCUGAAGGGAGGGAAGAGGUGGCCAGGCGGCGGCAGGACACCCGAGAGGCGAGGGGACUGUCAGGGCCGCUCUGGGCGUCGAGGCCAGUCCGGGAGGCCAGUCCGGGAGGAUCAGCUCUGAGCUGCGGUGGGGGCUCACACCACAGCUGUGGCAACACCAGAUCCACAGCACACUGUGCCGGGUGGGCUACUGAGCCUGCAAGCCGGUGCUCCUGAGACCCCACCCGUCCCCCCGGGCCUCCGUGGGAACUCUAGGUACCAUUUGCUUUCUAUGGCCACGCCGUCGUCGGCACAUGGAAUUUCCUAGGCUAGGGGCCAAAUCAGAGCUACGGCUGCCGGCCCUCGCCACAGCCACGGGGACGCUGAGCCACGUCUGUGACCUCCACCGCAGCUCACCGCAACGCCGGAUCCCCGGCCCCCUGAGCGAGGCCAGGCACUGAUUGCACCGGGAUCCUGGUGGAUACCAGUUGGAUUGGUUUCUGCUGGACCCCAGCAAUGGGAACUCUUAGGAGGGCCCUUUGAAUACACUACCUCUUCGCUAGAGUCUAAGGUAGAGGGGGUGCCUCGUGGGCUUACUGGGCUUUUUGGUGCUCCCUGCAAUGUGUGGGCCAAGGCAAGUGCCUCGCUCCCUUCCCUCCACUCUAAUCCCCACUGCGUUAGUAUUAGCCCCGUUCUGCUCACCGGAGCUGUCACAGGCACAGGCCACCUGGAGCACUGGGCAUGUGGGAGCGCUGGGUCCUAAUUGGGAUGUGUUGUGAGGGUAGAGUACACGUGGGGUUUAAAAGACAGCCUUCAAGGAGUUCCCGCUGUGGCUCCAAGGGGUCAGGGCCUCUUGGGAGCGCUGGCACGCAGGUUCCCUCCUCAGGCUAAGGAUCCCGUGUUGCUGCUGCUGCUGUGGCUUCCAUAGUGACUGUGAUUGGGAUCUGGGCCUCAGCCUGGGAACUUCAUAUGCGAUGGGUCAACCAACCAAAAAAAAAGAAAAAAAAGGACAAGAAUUUAGUAUCCAAAGCUGUAAAGUAUCUCAGUAAUUUGGACACUGAUUACAUAGAUUCAAGCGAUAGUUUAGAUAUACUGAGUUUAAUAAAACAUGAAACUUAAUUUCGCUUGUUUUCACUAUUUUCUUAUGUGGCUAGGAAUACUUAAAGUUACGUGUAAGUGGAGUUCCUGUGGCUCCGUGGAGUAAGGAUCCUUUGCUGUGUUUCAGGCAGCGUGGUUUGGAUCCCUGACUUGCACAGUGGGGUUCAAGUUGCAGUGUUACCACAGAUUUGGCUGGGAUUUGAUCCCUUGCCCGGGAACCUCCACAUGGCGUGGGUGAGGGGGAAAGGAAGAAGAAAGUACCCGCGUGCGUCACCUGUUUCUAGUGGAAAGCACUCUGCCAGACUGAAGUUCAGAGAGGCCAAGCAGCUUGCCUAGGAUCAUACAGCCAAUGUGAAGCCAAGUCAGGGCUUGCGUCCAAGCAUCCAGCUAACCAUGUGGGACCUCAGUCUUUUUAAACUGGGGUUGAUUUUAUUUUUUUUUUUGUAAUAGUUAUAAUGGGAGUUCUUGUUAUGGCCAGCAAUAGUGAACCUGACUAGUAUCCACGAGGACUUGGGUUCCGUCCUUGGCCUGCCUUGGCUCACUGGGUUGAGGAUCCAGCGUUUCGGUGAGCUGUGGUUGUAGGUGGGAGAUGCUGCUCAGAUCCAUGGUUGCUGUGGCUGUGGUGUAGGCUGGCAGCUAUGGCUCUGAGUUGACCCCUGGCCUGGGAACCUCCCUAUGCUGAGGGUGCCCUCCUAAAGUAAAAAAUAAAAUAAAAUAGGGAGAAUGACAAUGCCUGUCUGAUUAGGCUGCCUGUGAAGCUACACAUGGAAGGGCAGGCGCAUGGGGCUGUCUGAAUAAGGGCCCUCUAGGGAAAGUCACUUCUUGUCUGUAAGAGAGAGAGAAUUCCACUUCAGUGCUGUGCACUGUCUCCACUUACCCACCCUGAGCAUUCCUGUUUCACAUCCCGCUUUACCUAUUUAUGUUUCUGCCACCUGCUACGUUGCUAUUGACACCCAUGAGUGUCACGUGGCAUGUGUAUAGACAUUGAGGUGGGCACACAGACACACAGAUGUAUAGCUGUCAUCACAGAUACACCGAAAUUAGUGCUGGACUGCUCUUCCCCUCGAUGGCAGGGGUUGUAUUUGCUGCUGUCUCCUCCGCGCCUGUAUUCGUUGACUGAAUGGACAGAAGAGGGUGAACUGAGACAAUAUAUCCUAGGCUCAGCCUGCUCCCGACCAGACUCUUCAGCCUCCCAUCCCUGGACCUCUGUUCAGAUCUGUGAGCGUCAGACCAUCUUCUGCUCACUCCUUUGGCUUCCCUGAGAAGGCGGUGGCUACGGGCCAGACACCCAACCAUCUGUCCAUUUCUCGCCGACUCCCUCCUUGUCCUGCCUGGUGUUCUGGCCUCUUGGGCAGGUGUCUUCGUCCCCAUCCUGGGCUGAGUGUGCCCUGAGGGCAGGAACAGCUGCUGGUCCACUCCUGCCCAGGAGUGUCACAUCGGUUCCAGGUGAUGCAGGAUAAAACAAGGAAAGUAAGAGCAACCCAAACCCCAGAAGAUGUACUCACCUUUCUAACAUACAAAGAGCACCUCAAAGUUAUACUAAAAGGCUAACUAUUCCAUAGGGGGGAACGUGGGUGAAGACCAGGCACUGAAUCAUUUCCUAGUUCGUAGAGAAGAAAAAGUGGUUUUGGGAUUUCCUCUUGUGGCUCGGCAGGGUAAGAACCCAACUAGUCUCCAUGAGGAUGAGGGUUGGAUCCCUGGCUUCACUCAGUGGGUUCAGGAUCUGGCGUUGCCAUGAGCCACUGUGUAGGCUGCAGAAGCAGCUGUGAUCUGGCGUUGCCCUGGCUGUGCUGUAGAUCGGCGGCUACAGCUCCGAUUUGAUCCCUAGCCUAGGCACAUCCACAUGCGGCGCGGGGUGGGGGAGGCAUAAAAGUAAAAAUAAAAUAAAGUCAACUAAAAUAAACUGAGUCAAACAUAGACGGUCGCUGGAGAUCGGCCCUGCUGCGAAACUCCCUGGAGCCCGGCAGCUUGGAUACCUGGGCAGCUGGCACCUUCCCUUCAGCUGGUGGGCCUGGUCUCCCCCAGGCCUCACCUCCCUGCCUCUCUCUAGGGUGAUCAGUUCUCCCCCCUCGUGGCUCUCGCUCCCAGCCAUUACCACCCUCCUGGGGCUCCACUUGCUGUUUCUUUCUGGUCACCCCCAGUCCCCUCCUGCAGCCAAGGUCUCCCAAAGUGCCAGGCACCUAUGCAGGUGGAGGCUGGACGUCUGUCCCUGUGGGGGUCUGUCUCCUAAGACGCUGCACCAUGGCUGCAACCCCCUCUUCAUAACCUCCUCCACCUGCAGCCUACUCCCGCCUUAGCCUUGCCUGCAUCCCCCCGGAAGGUGAGGGCCUUGAGAUAGUUAUGGGAUGAAGAAGCAGGUGGUCUUAGGUGUGGGGAAAACUGAGGUAGGGAAAAGGCGAGGUAGCUGAGUUCCAUGCUUCCUCAUGGGAUGUUCUGUUCAAAAAUGGGGCUGUGGGAGUUCUCCCGUGGCACAGCAGCUUGGGUAUCCAGUGUUGUCACUGCAGUGACUCAGAUUCGAUCCCUUGCCUGGGAAGUUCCGAAUGUCAGACAGGUGUGGCCUCCCCCCAAAAUGGAGCUGCUAAGCAUGAUCUGAGAGUGGAGUUUUCUUCUGUCUGAUGUCUAAAUGUUGUUCCUAAGACACCUGCAUAAACCCAGGUUUUGUUUGGUUGGUUGGUUGGUUGGUUGGUUGUUGGGUCUUUUUAGGGCUGAACCUGUGGCACAUGGAAGUUCCCAGGCUAGGGGUGGAAUUGGAGCCUCAGCUGCUGGCCAACACCACAGCCACAGCAACGCCAGAUCCUUAACCCACUGGGCGAGGCCCGGGAUUGAACCCAAGUCCUCAUGCAAACCGGUCGGGUUUGUUACUGCUGAGCCACGAUGGGAACCUCACAGGCCCAGUGUUAGGGCUGGUGGUCCCAACCAGUCUUCGCCAUCUUGACCUGGACAGCAGCCAACUCCAAGUUUCUGGGAAACAAUUAAGCCUCUGUUAGUAGAAGGGAGCCAUAAGUCCGAGGGGUUAUCUAGAGGGGUGGUUAAAGAGCCCCCAAAUAAUUAAGGCAAAGUUCCCUUGGGAUGCCGCAGGUUAAAUAUGGCAUUGUCACUGCUGUGGCUGGGGUCACAGCUGAGGCAUGGGUCCCACUCCUGGCCUGAGAACUUGUAUGUCCUGGGGGCACCGCCAAAAGAAAUGAGGGGGAGCUGGGUCAGUGAAGGCUGCUUACAAGCGGGGGUGGGGUGGGGCGUUACGCUCAUCUAAAUGUGAGCUCACCUCCACACACACCAAAGGAGCCAACAAACCCGAAAGAGUGUAGAUUUUCCACUCCCACCUUCAAACUGUCAGAAAGGAAGCCUCCAGGAGGCCAAGCGACCUGCACACCUUGACACCCUCCCGGCUCCACGUUCCUUCAGGAAUCAGGCGCCCACAGACACCUCCACCAGGGGGCAGCAUCUCCUGCCCAGCCCUUGGCUGGGCCCUGGGACUUGGUUUUGUUUUGGAUGCGCUGCCUCUGAACCCGCCUCUGGUAGGGGAAGAGGAGGCGCCUAAGGGUUCCUUCCACACGUUUUCUCUGGUCGCGCUCCUUCAGAGAAGUAGGUUGUGUCCCCCGCAUUUCAUUCUGGAGGAAACACAGCUAGGAUUUGAAAUCCGGGUCUUGGUGAUUCCCAGGCUGAAGCUGCUCCCGGGCAUCCACUUGCCCGGCCCAUCCCCACUCCUGCAGGCGCCUCUCCUCCUUCAUUUGUGCCCUCAGACAGGUGCUCGGUUAGGCUGCUGAGGAGACAAGGAUGUCCUCGGCUGCUUGCCGGGUGCGUUCCAUCCAUCCUGUAGCC
rnacentral:lncRNA from 9 species